CUACGGGUGGCACCAGUGAGGAAUAUUGCGCAAUGGGGGAAACCCUGACGCAGCGACGCCGCGUGGAUGAUGAAGGCCUUAGGGUCGUAAAAUCCUGUCAGGUGGGAAGAAGUGGAUAUAGAUUGAUACUCUAUUUCUUUGACGGUACCACCAAAGGAAGCACCGGCUAACUCCGUGCCAGCAGCCGCGGUAAUACGGAGGGUGCAAACGUUGUUCGGAAUUACUGGGCGUAAAGCGCGCGUAGGCGGUUUGUUAAGUCAGAUGUGAAAGUCCAUGGCUCAACUAGGGAAGUGCAUUUGAAACUGGCAGACUUGAGUACUGGAGGGGGUGAUGGAAUUCCCGGUGUAGAGGUGAAAUUCGUAGAUAUCGGGAGGAAUAUCGGUGGCGAAGGCGAUCACCUGGCCAGAUACUGACGCUGAGGUGCGAAAGCGUGGGGAGCAAACAGGAUUAGAUACCCCCGUAGUC
rnacentral:rRNA from 1 species